AUCCUGAAGAGCCUGAGGAGGAAAAGCGGGUCAUUGCUGGAGAGGGUGUGAGCAAGGGGGAAUUUCAGGCUGAAUGCACAACCCCAGCUGCCGCGAUCGCUAUGACUCAGCGGGAGGUGGCGGUGGGGUCUGAAGGUGCACGUGGUGCCCGCAGCCAGCCGGCAGUUCCAUGCUGAGGCCUGGUCUGUAGCUUCCACUACCAGGCCGGAGUUGGGGGCGAACUACUGACCGGUCUGAAGCUCUUCUUUCACAGACUCUAAACGCAAAGUGGACAUAAGGUCGACGGAAAAUAAACAGCUUGAUAGAAAAGGAAAAAAAAUCUAGAAUCUUCGCUCUAAAGAAGAGAAAAUAGACGUGUCUGAUAAAGUGAAGAGGUUUGUGUUUUGUUGGAGCAUGUGAUUCUGCAUACUUGUACUGAAGAUGGCAGUGAAUUUGUGGAAGCAUAUUGCAGAUUACAUGAGAUUAACUACUUAUUUCAACACACAGUGUCAGAAUCCAACCUGUAACACAUACAGUACGAGUUAAAUUCCAGAGGGAGAUCAAUGAUGAAAGGAUCUGAAUGUUAUUCUGGUCAUGAUCAGCCAGCUAUAAUGGUGUAUGAGGGCUAACCAUGAGAGAAAAGUAGAGCAAGAAGACAGAGGGACUCUGCAUCUGUGGAAAAUUUUUGGAGAAGCAGCCUAAUUCUUUCUGGACCAUUCACCAACCCUGAACUGUUAUGGCUAUUGUACUAAGAAGAGUCUCAUAUGGUAGACUAUUUACUAAAGAGGCUGAAGGGGAACAGAUGCAGCAACUUAUGCUUCACCUUAGAAGAGAUCUCACAAUGCCCCACACCGCAGGCCUCCGGGAAAUUUUACGAAGGUGAGAGUCCCCUGAAUUUUUGUGGAAUUUAUUUCUCACCUUUUAACAUGUAAAUGUUGUAAGAAUAAGUCUAGAGUAGUUGCUGCUUCUUGCUCAUUAUGCCUAAUCAGCAUAAUAUCAUCAAUACAACAGACUGGUAUAAUAUCUUGGGAACAGGAAAAACAAUCAGACUCCCUACAGACUAAAUUAUUACACAGGCCUGGAGAUACCCUUGAGGGAGGACAAUGGCGGUAUAUUGCUGGCCUUGCUACCAAAGAGCAAACUGCUUCUUGUGCUCUUCAGCACCAUACAUCAAGGAAAACACAUUCGCCAGAUCAAUGGCUUCAUACCAGGUACCAGGGGAUGUGUUAAUUUGCUGAAGCAAUGAAGUCACAUCUGGAAUAGCAGCUGCAAUUGGAGUCACCAUUUGGUUAAUUUUAUAAAACUCCACUGCAUUCUACAGGAUCCAUCUGUUUUCUGCACAGGACAGAUAAAGUAAUUGGAAUAGGGAUAUGGUGGGUAUCAGCACCUCUUCAUCUUUCAAGUCCUCAAUGGUGGCAUUAACUUCUGAAACACUUCCAUAAAUGUGAUACAGCUUUGGUUUACUAUUUAUCCCCAAAACGAAGCAGUUCUAGUGGUUCCCACAUGGCGCUACCACAGCAGUCCUCACUUUGUAGGUAAAGGAGCCAAUGUGUGGAUUCUGGCAGUUGUUAAGUAAGUUCAUUCCAAUUAUAUAUUCCGGAACUUGAGAAAUAACCAGAGGAUGGGCUUGAAGAUCCAGUGGACCCAGCAUAAGAGGAAACUGAGUUAAAAUUCCAUUCAUCACUUGAUCUCCAUAAACUUUACUCUGAAUAAUCAACCACAAUGACAUGGAUCUCCUGGAAUUAGUAUCACUUCAGAGCCCAUGUCCAGUAAUUCUCAGAAAAAUCUGGAUAUCCUUUUCCCCAGUUUGUAGUAAACCUACUAGAAGGCCAUAUUCCCCUUUCAAGAAGACUGGGAGAAAGAUGAAGGGUAUCCAUUUUGAGCAGGGUAGCUGGAUUCUUUCUCAAAGGAAGCUGGCCUUCUCUUCAUUUAAGUAGUUCUGGGUCUAUAAACUGGUUCACAUCUGGGUAUUGUUUGAGGGAACAUCAUUCUCUUUCAGUGAUUCAGGUUACUCAGUUUAGACCUUUUCCAUUACAUUUUGUUAAGCAAGAAUUUUAUAGACUCCUUAUCUCUCAAUUAUUCUGGUUACUGCUUUGACUUCACUGUCCAUUCUGGUAACCAGACCCACCUUGUCUCUGGUGAUUGAGUUCUGCCCCUGGUCCCCUGCCACCCUGGCAUCAGUUAUCCCCAUUUUAUAUAAGGAUCACUGUUCACUGGCAGUCAGAUCCCACUGUAAUUUCUGGCCUACAGAAAAGAGAUAGCAAAAAGCUCUUCAAAGGUGCUGGGGCUCACUUCACAAAUUAUUUCUCAAAGUAACAUGAAAGACAUCAAGGUGUCAGUAGGGCCACACUCCUUCUGGUGGCUCUAGGGGAUCAUCCAUUCCUUCCUCUUAUAGCUUUCCUUGGCUCAUGGCCACAUCUCUCUUCAAUCCAUGUUUAUAUCACUUUCUCUUCUAUGCAUCUGUGUAAAAUAUCUCCCUCUGCCUCUCUCUCACUUGUAAGCUCCUAUGCCAGUCAGUUU